rnacentral:rRNA from 1 species
CCUACGGGUGGCAGCAGUAGGGAAUUUUUGGCAAUGGGCGCAAGCCUGACGCAGCAACGCAGCGUGAAGGAAGAAGGCUUUCGGAUUGUAAACUUCUGUUGACAGGGAAGAUUAGAAUACAGUGCCUGUCGAAUCAUCCACAGCGCACUACGUGCCAGCAGCCGCGGUAAUACUGAGGUUGCAAGCGUUGUCCGGAUUUACUGUGUGUAAAGGGCGUGUAGCCGGGUUGACAAGUCAGAUGUGAAAUCCUGCGGCUUAACCGCAGAACUGCAUUUGAAACUGGUGAGCUUGAGUACUGGAGAGGUAGACGGAAGUCUUAGUGUAGCGGUGAAAUGCGUAGAUAUUAGGAGGAACACCAGCGGCGAAGGCGGUCUGCUGGAUAGCAACUGACGGUGAGGAGCGAAAGCGUGGGGAGCAAACAGGAUUAGAUACCCCAGUAGUC